AAAUUGACGGGAGCCCGCACAAGCGGUGGAGCAUGUGGUUAAUUCGACGCAACGCGAAGAACCUUACCAGGGCUUGACAUCCCCUGACCGCGUAUGAAAGUACGUUUUCACCCUCGGGUGACAGGGAGACAGGUGGUGCAUGGUUGUCGUCAGCUCGUGUCGUGAGAUGUUGGGUUAAGUCCCGCAACGAGCGCAACCCCACGUUUAGUUGCUAACAGGUGAAGCUGAGCACUCUAGACGAACUGCCGUUGACAAAACGGAGGAAGGUGGGGAUGACGUCAAAUCAUCAUGCCCCUUAUGUUCUGGGCUACACACGUGCUACAAUGGCCGGUACAGACGGAGGCGAAGCCGCGAGGCGGAGCAAAUCCGAAAAAGCCGGUCUCAGUUCGGAUUGCAGGCUGCAAUUCGCCUGCAUGAAGUCGGAAUCGCUAGUAAUCGCAGGUCAGCAUACUGCGGUGAAUACGUUCCCGGGCCUU
rnacentral:rRNA from 1 species